rnacentral:piRNA from 1 species
UGAGUGUUCUUUUAAGUUCUGUGUCCUGG